AGUGGUAGGAAUGAUUGACAAAAACAGACCUAAUAGGGAAGAGCUCUUAUUUCUGAAGACUUCUGGAUGUGGAACCACCGCCUGAAGCAUGGUUGACCUACCAGGAUCCGCACACUUAAAGAAAACUGACUUUCCUUUCCUCAGAACCCACAGCCGUAGCUCCUCAGUUAGGGUUUUUCAAAAGAAGGUAGCACUGGCUUUCCUGUGAAGACUUUCAACUGUGAAGACUGGCCUUGAACUCAUGGAGACCUGC